CUCGUUUCUUGGGAUCGCAUCAUGCAGUGACACAGGUGAUCAGUAAUGCACAAGACAAGUAGCUGGAAAAUUCUCUUCAACCUUAAAUCACACACCUGGAAAUAAGAAGAUUUACCGCAGGACUAUUGCAUUAUUUCUUUGAACUUCAAAACAGAAGAAGAACAGAUUUCAAAUCAUAUCAGCAGCCAGAUAAGUACAAUCUUAAUUGCAAUAUCCAUGUGGAACAACUUUAAAGCUUUAUGGCUGUA
rnacentral:lncRNA from 1 species